UACGUAGGGUGCGAGCGUUAAUCGGAAUUACUGGGCGUAAAGCGUGCGCAGGCGGCGCGUUAAGUCAGGUGUGAAAGCCCCGAGCUUAACUUGGGAAUUGCGCUUGUGACUGGCGAGCUGGAGUGUGGCAGAGGGAGGUGGAAUUCCACGUGUAGCAGUGAAAUGCGUAGAGAUGUGGAGGAACACCGAUGGCGAAGGCAGCCUCCUGGGCCAGCACUGACGCUCAUGCACGAAAGCGUGGGGAGCAAACAGG
rnacentral:rRNA from 1 species